UUCUAUCAGAGCACAAUAACAUACAAGAGCAGAACAAAUCAACGACAAAAUUAGAUGGAGCCAAAUCAUCUCUAGCAGCCACUUCUGCUCGCUUGAAGACAAUCUUACACAGAGUGCAGCCUGUUCCCUGCCUCUGUGCUUCCCAGGGACUCCUCAAACACACAUCAGGAAUGAGAUAUGGGCUAAACAGCAGUUACCCCGGUGUGAAGCAGCUCUUCGGGCCCUGCAGACUGUUCCUGCUGUUGAGCCGUGCCACCUUCUGGCUCUCCCGAGAAACACAUCCCGCCUGGGAGCCACCUCCCAGUCCCUCACUCCUGCUCAAAGCAUGGCCCUGUGCUUGUCUCGGCUGUUCCCACCCCGACUCUAGAUAAUUUCAGUAAUAACUCUUCCCACAGUGAAGUUUUUUUCCUUAUACACAGACAGAAUUUCCCGAGAACAAAAGACUGAUGGAACAAGAGAGCUUCAGGGGCAGGAGGCAGAUGACUUUGCUUCAUGGAGUGAAAUUAGACUGCCACUUAAGAUACAAACCAAGCUCUGAAUAAACAGCUCAAUUGGAUUAAACAGUUCACCUGAAAUGAAGGAAAAAGCUCUCCCUGAACCUGAGUGAAAUAACACUUUUAAAAGGCAUUAAUAAAAAAGGGUUUAAUAAAACUAAAAGGUAUGGCUA